rnacentral:lncRNA from 1 species
CUCGCCAAAAAGGGGCCGAUGCCCUUCCUCGAGGCUGCCAUCGACCUCGUUAGACGGCAGUCAGAUUUCUUCACAGAUGAGGCGGCGGUGACAAAGGUCGUACGAGCGGUGACCGCCGCCAAGGAGAAGGUCGACGCCGAGGAGAGGCUGAAGAAAAGGGCGGCAGAUGAGGCUGCCAAGGCCGAGAAGCGGCUCAAGGAGGCGGCACAGAAGGCCGCUGAGAAGACGGAGGCCAAGGAUCAGAAGACGGAGGCCGCUGCGGCGGCCAAGGAUGAGGAGAAGGAGGGUGU